GAGUUUGAUCUUGGCUCAGAUUGAACGCUGGCGGAAUGCUUUACACAUGCAAGUCGAGCGGCAGCGCGGGGCAACCUGGCGGCGAGCGGCGAACGGGUGAGUAAUGCAUCGGAACAUGUCCAUGUCGUGGGGGAUAGCCCGGCGAAAGCCGGAUUAAUACCGCAUAUGCCCGAGAGGGGAAAGUGGGGGACCGCAAGGCCUCACGCGAUUGGGUUGGCCGAUGUCCGAUUAGCUAGUUGGCGGGGUAAGAGCCCACCAAGGCGAUGAUCGGUAGCUGGUCUGAGAGGAUGAUCAGCCACACUGGGACUGAGACACGGCCCAGACUCCUACGGGAGGCAGCAGUGGGGAAUUUUGGACAAUGGGGGAAACCCUGAUCCAGCCAUUCCGCGUGAGUGAAGAAGGCCUUCGGUUGU
rnacentral:rRNA from 1 species